CUUCCUCGACAAAAUCAUAUUCUUGUUGGAGAUGAGUGUCUUCUACAUCUGCGGGAGAAGAUGUAGCUAUACCCAUGAGAGCCUACCUAAAGCAUCGUUUUUUAGUCUUAAAGAACUAUGAAAUUACUGCUGAGGUUUUAAGGUUUCUUAUCUUCCUCCGCCAGAUUCUUUUCUUGCGAAGAUGAGCAACGACAAGACAGCAUGAACAUGGCCAAUCUCACCGCCGAACGAAGCCAUGGCAGGAGUUGGACCUAUAACUCAGGAUUGGGAGCCCGUUGUUAUCCGUAAGAAAGCCCCUAACUCCGCCGCCAAGCGUGACGAGAAAACUGUCAACGCCGCUCGUCGAUCCGGCGCCGAUAUCGAGACCGUCAGAAAAUUCAAUGCUGGAACCAACAAGGCUGCAUCAAGUGGCACAUCUCUCAACACCAAAAGGCUUGAUGAUGACACUGAGAACCUUACUCGUAUUUUAUUCUUCCCUCUUGUUAAUGCUCUAUCAACGUGUGCCAACUGAGCUAAUGAACGUGUGCCAACUGAGAUAACCCAGUAAUCUCCGGGCUUGUUCAUGCUCUUAAGUUUAUGAGACGUGUAGACUGGGAACCCAUUUGCCACAGAGCCUGGGAAAUCAAAUGGGUGGAAUGGGUGGAAUAACACAUUGCUUCUGGGAUAACACAUUGCUUCUGGGAUCUCAGCGAUUAUUUUCUGUCUUUGUCGAAUGGGUGGAAUGUGUGAGUAGCUAUCUGAAGUCUUUAUCAAAAGCGUUGAAAGGCCUAAAGCUUGCGUUACACAAACCAGAAAGAAGGCUCAGGGAGUCCUUGUAUGGUAGUGUACAUAGUAUGUCCAUUUCCUGAACCUUCAACAGUUUUAAGGCGAUUGUUGAAUCGUCUAUAGCACUUGGAUCAGUAAUACAGUCAGAUAGAGACAGGAGAUCGAUACUUAACAGUCAUGUUGCAAGGGCGUUUGGUAGUUCUGCUGCUGUUGACGAAACAUCAAUAUCUCACAUUCUGUCAUCCUCCCCUGACAAUGGAUCUUAUAAACCCAGGGAUUUUAUCAUUACACGCAUUGGGAAUUUUUUCGAGCUUGAAUACCUAGGUAAAUUGUUUUCUUUUAUACCUCUCUUUGACCCUUACAUUCUGUUCUUAAUCUGAUAUUUCAUCCCUCUCUUAUUUCAAUUGCGCCUGGGAAUAGAAUUCUCU